GGGGCUGCAUUGGUUUCGACGUGGGUUCGGACGCGGUGUGGUGCAUGUCGAGCUGAAUGUGCUCGUUAAUCUGAUUCAAAAAAACUAACUGCAAACGCCGAACGUUUCGCACUCGCGGCUUAAUUGCCCGUGAGCUUUA
rnacentral:tmRNA from 1 species